UUCAAUUGUGCAGUCUGAGCCACACAGUUCCAGUUUGUUUUUAACCGUAUCUGUUUGUGGACUUUGCUCUUUGCUGGAUUUCUUUCUUCCCGCCUGUUUCCUGUUUGUGUCUCACUGCUUCCCUCACAUCUCCCUCAGCAGCCUUUUCCAGCAUUACUUUCAACAAAAGUUUCAUUUCUUGGUCAUGGAUGAUUUCGUAAGAACCAAACUGGUUGAAUGGGGGCUAAGUGAGUGGGUGGAGAAAUUUAAAGAUCAAGAAAUUGAUGCAGGAAUUAUUUGUGAGCUUGAUGAUCGAGAAAUUGAGAAUUUGAUCACAAAAGCUGGACCAAGAAUGAGAUUCAAGAAGAACCUCAAGCUGU